CAGCAGCAGCCGCGGGAAUACAGAGGGUGCGAGCGUUAAUCGGAUUUACUGGGCGUAAAGCGUGCGUAGGCGGCUUCUUAAGUCGGAUGUGAAAUCCCUGAGCUUAACUUAGGAAUUGCAUUCGAUACUGGGAAGCUAGAGUAUGGGAGAGGAUGGUAGAAUUCCAGGUGUAGCGGUGAAAUGCGUAGAGAUCUGGAGGAAUACCGAUGGCGAAGGCAGCCAUCUGGCCUAAUACUGACGCUGAGGUACGAAAGCAUGGGGAGCAAACAGGAUUAGAUACCCCCGUAGUCCCUGUCUCUUAUAC
rnacentral:rRNA from 1 species